rnacentral:rRNA from 1 species
UACAGAGGUGGCAAGCGUUGUUCGUAAUUACUGGGCGUAAAGGGCGCGUAGGCGGUCUUCUAAGUCUUGUGUGAAAUCCCUCGGCUCAACUGAGGAACUGCACGGGAUACUGGAUGACUUGAGUUCGGGAGAGGGAAGCGGAAUUCCGGGUGUAGCGGUGAAAUGCGUAGAUAUCCGGAGGAACACCGGUGGCGAAGGCGGCUUCCUGGACCGAUCACUGACGCUGAGGCGCGAAAGCUAGGGGAGCAAACGGG